AGAAGACAAUCGCCGACUUUGAAGCAGUUGAGAUCAAUGAAGUUACAAGUGUCUCCGUGAAGGCUAUGCUUGGACUUGUUCCAACACAAGACACAUCAACAGAUAUAUUUCGCAAAUUCGUGGUUCUAGUCGUAGAAAACGGAUGUCUACUUCUAUCACAUGGCGUUUCAGCUGAUCGUAAACACAAAUGCUUGUUAUGGGGUUUAUCCAGAAAUGAAGUCAACAAGAGUACUGAGUGCUAUAAGCAGAUAGAUUUGAUGUGCACGAAUAUGUACGACCUGACGGAAACUGUUAACCCAUGUGAUUAUUAUAAUGUUGACAAGGAAUCGGGUCAAGAUGAGUCCAUUGA
rnacentral:lncRNA from 1 species